GAAUGAUUUGGAUUGAAGGUCCUUGUAAUGUUCCUCAGCCAGUUCUUUGGGGCAUUGAAAAAGCUUCAAUCCAGUUAGCUUAAACCCCUUUUUCUCAAAUCUUGAAAUAAUCUCUCCAACAAGUCCUCUUUGAACACCAUCAGGCUUAAUCAUAAUAUAUGUCUCCUCCACUUCCUCCAUGGACGCAACCAAGUGGGGAAGGAAUAUACGAGCUGUAUGGUUCCUUUUGGAGCCAUGGGGGCCCGAUUGGGUACUCGCAAAAAGAUGAAACGCAGGUUGAAAUGCAGCUAAAUUAUGGUGUUUCUUGAUGGGGUUAAGGAUAACCCUGCAAGAGGGUGCGCAGGAUAAGCUACUGGUUUUGG
rnacentral:misc_RNA from 1 species